GGAAAACGCGUGAUUUUCGGGUUAAAUGGGGGAUUUGCGAAGAGAAAACGCGUGAUUUUCGGGUUAAAUGGUGGAUUCUCGAAGAGAAAAUGCGUGAUUUUUGCUUAAAAGGGGGAUUUGCGAAGAGGAUAUGCGUGAUUUUCGCUUAAAUGGGGGAUUUCCGAAGAGAAAAUGCGUGAAUUUCGGGUAAAAAAAGGUAUUUGGGAAGAGAAAACACGUGAUUUUCGGGUUAAAUGGGGGAUUCUCAAAGAGAAAACGCGUGAUUUUCGGUUAAAUGGGGGAUUUGUG
rnacentral:lncRNA from 1 species